GAUGAACGCUGGCGGCGUGCCUAAUACAUGCAAGUCGAGCGAACAGACGAGGAGCUUGCUCCUCUGACGUUAGCGGCGGACGGGUGAGUAACACGUGGAUAACCUACCUAUAAGACUGGGAUAACUUCGGGAAACCGGAGCUAAUACCGGAUAAUAUAUUGAACCGCAUGGUUCAAUAGUGAAAGACGGUUUUGCUGUCACUUAUAGAUGGAUCCGCGCCGCAUUAGCUAGUUGGUAAGGUAACGGCUUACCAAGGCAACGAUGCGUAGCCGACCUGAGAGGGUGAUCGGCCACACUGGAACUGAGACACGGUCCAGACUCCUACGGGAGGCAGCAGUAGGGAAUCUUCCGCAAUGGACGAAAGCUUGACGGAGCAACGCCGCGUGAGCGAUGAAGGUCUUCGGAUCGUAAAACUCUGUUAUUAGGGAAGAACAAAUGUGUAAGUAACUAUGCACGUCUUGACGGUACCUAAUCAGAAAGCCACGGCUAACUACGUG
rnacentral:rRNA from 1 species